rnacentral:hammerhead_ribozyme from 1 species
AUCCAGCUGACGAGUCUCGCAUAGGACGAAAUGUGCGUCAAAAUGGAU